rnacentral:lncRNA from 1 species
CCGCCUCUCCCCAUCUUUUCCAGCAGCGGAGGGAGGACAGCGCCUGCCCCUGCUUGUGCAGGCGGUGCGGUCUGUGCUGAGAGACCCCAGCAGGAAGGUGAGCUGGUUGGCGAGGGGCGGCACCGCGGUGGGUGGGCGGCAGAGAAAGCUUUCCCCCGGGGCAGAGCCUGGCCAGCCCCAGCGGGUCGGGGUCAAGCCUAGACGAGCGUUUCCCUGUGGAAAUUUCCCCGCAGGGCAGUGACCGUGGGAGCAGAGGGGUCUCCUGCGCCCGUGUAGUCUCCCCAUGGGGCAGAUGGGCUGGGUGGGUGCGAAGGCGUCUGCCCCUCGGCUUUCGAGCUUGGGGGGAGGGGGGGAUAUCUUAUCUUAUCGGGGGAUAACUGCAAUCUCCUCCCUGGCAGGUGGCGAGGGCAGUUCUGCGCUUCACCAAGGAGCUGCUCAGCUGCAGCGUCCAGAGCUGCUCGGCCUGGGAUCUGGUGGCCCACGUCUUCGCCACGUUCAGCCAGGCCUCCGGCAGACUGGCGCAGGGAAACCUUUCUCGGGCAGAAGCACAGGAAGCAACAGACCUUCAAGCCCUGUGCUUGGACAUCCUGGGCUCUGUGGACGUCUCCGUCAGGGGGAUGACCAAAGUAAGUCGUCCUGCGCCCUGCUGCUGCCUCCCUGCCCCGCUCUCCCCCAACUGCUCCCCAAACAGGCCCCUAUGCGCACAGGGCGAGCGGAAACGCAGCCCGUCGUUUCCCCCUCAGAGCUAAAACGAGCUCUGGGGCUGGCGGUGGGGCGGGAGCCCCAAAGUGCUGAAUUGCCUCGUUCUCGUCUGCAGCUCUUGUGGCCGCGGCUCCUGCAGUACGUGGUGCCAGCCCAGUACACGGGCACGCUGGUGCCCCUGUCCCAGUGCCUCCGAGAGCUGGCCGAGCGCCGGCAGAGAGCAGGGGANNNNNNNNNNNNNNCCAUGUGCCCGGCCGGGCCGUGCAGGGGCCGGGGACGCCCUGCCAGACGCAGGCGGGAGGCGGGAGCGAGGACGGGCAGAGCCGUGCCCCUCUGGCCGGGGCGAGGGAGCUCUGUGCCGCGUUUCCUCGUGCCCGGCAGAGACGCCUCGCUCGACUGCUGGCAGCUUUCUGCUUGCGGCCCGGGAGCGUUUCCCAGCCGCGCUGGAGCUGCCUGCACCUC